rnacentral:rRNA from 1 species
GGCCAGACUCCUACGGGAGGCAGCAGUGGGGAAUAUUGGGCAAUGGGCGCAAGCCUGACCCAGCAACGCCGCGUGAAGGAAGAAGGCUUUCGGGUUGUAAACUUCUUUUCUCAGGGACGAAGAAAGUGACGGUACCUGAGGAAUAAGCCACGGCUAACUACGUGCCAGCAGCCGCGGUAAUACGUAGGUGGCAAGCGUUAUCCGGAUUUACUGGGUGUAAAGGGCGUGCAGCCGGGAAGACAAGUCAGAUGUGAAAUCCCGCGGCUCAACCGCGGAACUGCAUUUGAAACUGUUUUUCUUGAGUACCGGAGAGGUCAUCGGAAUUCCUUGUGUAGCGGUGAAAUGCGUAGAUAUAAGGAAGAACACCAGUGGCGAAGGCAGCAUGCCGGCUUCCGACUGACGCUGAAGCACGAAAGCGUGGGGAUCGAACAGGAUUAGAUACCCGCGUAC